CAAAAAAAAAAAAAAAAAGAAAAGAAAAAAGAAAAUGCUCAAAGGUCCAUAAACCAUGCCAGAGUUUCCCCUAUUGCCACCCUUGGGUUAGAGCCCUGGACUGAUGCUGUGGCAGCCCUGGGGUGAGGGUGACCAGGCCAGAGGCAUUGCUGUGGAACUGUCAGGCCCUGUGACCAGACCACAGAGGUGGUCUGUGGCUCCCCACCUCUGGGGAGGGAUGGCCACAGAGGCUCCCCCGCUGGUAAGGACAGGCCUGCGAGGACAGAGAGGGCUCAGGUGGACAGGGCAGCUCUUUAUCUAAACCUCAUAUCAUGUGGGUGAAGAGACGGCCCAGAGAGGGUGAGUGGCUCCUUCAAAGUCACACAGCACUAAAGGCAGGACAGGUGCCAGAAUCUGUAUAAAAUCCAUAGUUGGCAUCUGAAUACAAUGGACACCUGCUUUUUUGCUUUGUUUUGGCUGUUCUUCUUGCCUGAAAUGCUCUUCUCCCAGAUAUCCACGAUGGUCGCUACCCUCAGCUGCUUCACACACCACCUCAAACAUCACCUUCUCAGUGAGGACCUCCCUGACCUCUCAUUUAAAGUUGCACUCCCAGCCAGAUGUGGUGGCUCACUCCUGUAAUCUCAGCACUUUGGGAAGCCGAGGUGGGAGGAUUGCUUGAGGCUAAGAGUUCAAGAGCAAUCUGGCCAACACAGUGAGACCCCAACUCUGUUUUUAUUUUUUAAAUUUUAUUAUUUUUUGAGAUGGAGUCUCACUCUAAUGCCCAGGCUGGAGUGCAGUGGUAUGAUCUCACCUCACUGCAACCUCCGCCUCCCGGGUUCAAGCGAUUCUCCUGCCUCAGACUCCCGAGUAGCUGGAAUUACAGGCGCGUGCCAUCACGCUCAGCUAAUUUUUGUAUUUUUAGUAGGGAUGGGGUUUCAUCAUGUUGGCCAGGCUGGUCUCGAACUCUUGACCUCAAAUGAUCUGCCCACCUCGGCCUCCCAAAGUCCUGGGAUUACAGGCAUGAGCCACCACCACCAGCCCGACUCUAUUUCUUAAAAAGGUAAAAUAAACGAUUAAAGUUGCACUCCCAACUCCCCUUUUCUUAUCUUCUCUUGUUUCUCCCUAUCAUCUUUCAUCACCUGAUUUGCCAUAUGUUUUACUGAACAUCAGUUCCAUGCUGCAGGGAUUUGUGUUUUUGUCUGUUUCACUGCUGUAUCCCCAGCACCUAGGGCACUGCUGGGCACAAGGUAGGUUAAGUCCGCAAUAUAUAUUUAUUAACAGAACAAAUAAAUGAGUAUCAACCUUCGCCAAUAGUGUUACCACAGGUGAAGGGCACAAUGAAAAUGCUUGAGUGGCUUCUUCUAGUGCAGAAGUGUCCUUGAACGUAUAACCCAUCCCCGUGGACACACUGUGCUGUGUGUGCCCGUCGUGUCCUGUACCCGCUGCCCCAGGACAGGAGCUGCAACCCCUGAGCUCACAGACCUUGCUGAUCCUUUAUGAACCAAUAUGCACCCUCAGAAGGGCACGGUUGACAAAAUAUGUGCUGCUGUUAGGUGUCUAUUCAUUGUCAAAUACUCAAAAGUAGCUAUGAAUUCUAAAAGAAAAUCUGCUUAGAGAGGAACUAGCAAGACAUCUUUGCUCAGGAGUGAGGCCUAUAAGGAAAAAUCGAAUAUCCCGCUCUAAAAACUAGAAACAAGCCUUGCGUGAAAAUGCUUUGUGAUGUGCUGUUUCAUAUCACAGAAUGGAACCUGUGUUUUGAUUCCAAGGUUCGCAACACUCUACAAAGCUUAAAUUUUCUCUGCUGCUUUCUUUGUAGAAAAAACAAAGGCUGCUUUUCCAAGCCUUU
rnacentral:lncRNA from 1 species